rnacentral:rRNA from 1 species
AUUGAACGCUGGCGGCAGGCCUAACACAUGCAAGUCGAGCGGAUGAAGGGAGCUUGCUCCUGGAUUCAGCGGCGGACGGGUGAGUAAUGCCUAGGAAUCUGCCUGGUAGUGGGGGAUAACGUCCGGAAACGGGCGCUAAUACCGCAUACGUCCUGAUGGAGAAAGUGGGGGAUCUUCGGACCUCACGCUAUCAGAUGAGCCUAGGUCGGAUUAGCUAGUUGGUGGGGUAAAGGCCUACCAAGGCGACGAUCCGUAACUGGUCUGAGAGGAUGAUCAGUCACACUGGAACUGAGACACGGUCCAGACUCCUACGGGAGGCAGCAGUGGGGAAUAUUGGACAAAGGGCGAAGGCCUGAUCCAGCCAUGCCGCGUGUGUGAAGAAGGUCUUCGGAUUGUAAAGCACUUUAAGUUGGGAGGAAGGGCAGUAAGUUAAUACCUUGCUGUUUUGACGUUACCAACAGAAUAAGCACCGGCUAACUUCGUG